UCCUCGUGACUUAGGAAUAGUUUCUUGUUCCCUUGGCCCAAAAUAAAACUUUCUUAUCAUCAUAUUUGAGUUUGUGAAAAAUUCUCAAGCUAGGUAGCUUAAUAAGUUCAGUCUUGAUAUCCUCUUUCUCAUGGAGCUUAAGGCUAGCUUCACUCCCAUUUUCUUUCUUCUCCUCCUCCUAGCACCUUGCUCUUCAGGUUUCUUUAUAAUGAAAUAAGUUUUCUUUUUUGGGAACGUAUACAUUUGGGCGUUCGACCAAGAAUAUUUACAGUCUCUAGCUAAUAUACAUAAUAUAUACAUGUAUUAUAUUAUAUAUUAUUGAAGGCUAUUUUCUUUUUGCUUGAAAGGCUAUUUAUGUUAAUUUCUCCUUUUUUGUUCACUUGAUGUGGAUUUAUAAAAGGGUAACCGGUGCAUGAAGCAUCUAAUGUCCACACAGGGUUCGAAGAAGGGCCGCUGCUUAGGGGUGUGAUGUGGGAUUUAAUGACUAAUCAAAAUGUUAUUUUCUUGAUAGGGAAAAGGGAUUUAUCGAACGUGGAUUCAAGGAUUUACGAUAUCGAUUAUAGAGGUCCUGAAACUCACACUCACAUUCCUACACCAAAUCGAUCCAAGGGACAGCAUAACGGUUGCAAAUCUGAAGGCUUUAAAGCUAGUAAGCCUGGCCAAACUCAUGGGAAGAAAAUUCAUGGAUGAGUUUGAACAAAGUUUGAUUUAUUUGGGAAUUCAGGAAAUUUGGAUAAGCAAUCAUAAAAUAAAUGAGGAUGUUCCUAAACUGCAAAGAGUAUGUACAUGCAUACUAGUUGCAGGAGGCCCGUGCUAAGCCCGGGUCCAAACUCAGUAUGUAAGAGUUGUAACUUAAUUAAAAAAGUAUAUAACUUUGUCAUA